rnacentral:rRNA from 1 species
UACAGAGGUCUCGAGCGUUGUUCGGAUUCAUUGGGCGUAAAGGGCGCGUAGGCGGCGGGGUAAGUCUGGUGUGAAAUCUCGGAGCUCAACUCCGAAAUUGCACUGGAUACUGCUCUGCUAGAGGGCUGGAGAGGAGAUCGGAAUUCACGGUGUAGCAGUGAAAUGCGUAGAUAUCGUGAGGAAGACCAGUGGCGAAGGCGGAUCUCUGGACAGUUCCUGACGCUGAGGCGCGAAGGCUAGGGGAGCAAACGGG